rnacentral:rRNA from 1 species
CACGUAGGGUGCGAGCGUUGUCCGGAAUUAUUGGGCGUAAAGAGCUCGUAGGCGGUCUGUCGCGUCUGCUGUGAAAACUCGGGGCUUAACCCCGGGCCUGCAGUGGGUACGGGCAGACUAGAGUGCGGUAGGGGAGACUGGAAUUCCUGGUGUAGCGGUGAAAUGCGCAGAUAUCUGGAGGAACACCGGUGGCGAAGGCGGCAUCCUGGACCGACAUUGACGCUGAGGCGCGAAAGCCAGGGGAGCAAGCAGGG